CGGCCAAUGGGAGCUUCAGGGGAGGUACCUGGAGGCGUGGCAAGGGCAGCGUGCAGAGCCCUGUGCUGCCCCGCCCCUCCCCCGGGGCUGCGGGGAGCGGCCCGGCAUGGGGCCCUGGCGGGCAGGGAGCGCGCCGCUGCGGGAAACUUCUCAAGCUCCGCUAUAUGAUGAGGACAGAGUGAAUGUAUCGCAUAACACGUCAAGCGUUAUGGAGUGUUAGAAGUCACUGUGGGAAGAAUCGGCAGAGAGGAGGGAUUCCACUGCAUCCUUCUGUUUUAUCCUCAGUAGUUGCAGCAGCCGGAGCUGAAAGGAAAUAGGGAAUGGUUGAAAUACAAAGGGAAAAAAUAUAAUUUUCAUUGAAUUGAUCUCAAUAAAUUAAAUGAAAAUAUCUCUUCCACA